ACCCUGGGGCCCCAGCUCAGCCCCUGCUCUGAGGGCUCCCUGAGGCAUGUGGCAGUGGGAGCCUGAGAUGCAGAGGAAGAAGGGCUGGGAAAUGCCCCAGGAGGGCAGGCACCACCUGGAGAGGAGGGAAGCCAGCCCAGCACCCCUAGCGCCUCCCCUGGGGACUAGUGGGGACUUUUUUGGGCUGGCUCAUGGCACACAGUAAGGCAGGUGACAGCUGGGAUGUGUGACCACAAGGAUCAAGCUUCAGCCUGCCCUUCUACCACACAGGACACCCAGCAGGUAAAAGGAGGAGCAUCCAUGUUGCCCUCUGGGUGGCAGUAACGGCCUGUGAUGUGCCACCCCACCUCCCAGCCCUAAUCUGUGCUUGUGCCCACCACUUCCUGCCAAAAACCCUGUGUUCAAGCCCUUAACCCACUACAAGUCUCCCAAGCCCAGGUUUGACUCUCAGCUCCACAACUUUCUUGCCGUGGGAUUCUGAACAAAUCACAGAGCCCUCCCCAUCCUCUGUCUCAAAUGCAGGACAGGGGUCACAAUGGCACCUGCUCAGGGCUGUCAUGGACGCAGAGAAAACAGGUUCUGCACUGGCAGGCCCUCUGCCUGAUGCAUUGAAAGCCCUCAGGACGCAGGCACUGUUCUCCUGUUGCCCCACCUGCCCCCCACAUGGCCAGCUGGGGGUCUCCUCAAUAUGCCCUGUGAUUUUCAUCCCUGCCAUCAAUCUGUGUUCCUCAAUUCUUUUGAAGCCUCCCUGAAAAGCAGGCUGCAGUCCCCCACAUGAACACUGACUGUUCUAGGCUCACCUGUAUCACUGUCUGGUGCCAUUAGACUGUUCUUAUUCGGAUUUCAUAAUAAGAUAUUGUGAACCCAAGAGGAAUCAAAAUUCCUGCUUGAAAAAUAAUCUGAUACUGGUCAGGCCAUCAGCACGGAAAUACUUCAGAUGCACACAAUCAUGCGUACUUUUGCCCUCUCACUCCAUAAAAACUACUAUGUGCCAGGCACGGUUCUGGACUUUUCUCCCCAUGCAGUCGGACAAUCCUCCUGGGCAGGAGCAUCCAGGCAAUUCUGUGGUGCCUGCUUUCCCCUCCAGCCCAGCUGCAGGCUUGCCGGAAGAGGGACAAGUGUAGCCUUAGGCCCGACCCUGGGCUGCAUUUUGCAGUGUGGCCAGCAGGAGGCAGCAUGACCCCAUAGCGGGCAGCACUGAGGCUGCAGGCUAAGGAGGCCACCAGGCGGGCAGGGUGAAAGAGCAGGGCUGUGUGAGGUGGCCCCUGGUUACUCCUCUGUGCCCAUGCCCCACCCUCUAUGGGUUUAGGAAUUGAAUAUCUGGGGGCCUCUCAGGGCUGAGCCAGGCUCCUGCUCUCAGUUCCUGCAGGCGCUCUCCACAUCCCUUCUCAUGGUUUUCAGUAAACACGAGGACAAGGACAGGAGGGAGGGGACAGGGAGAGGGUGGGGCCGCUGUGGAAGCCCCUGCCAAGACCACAGACCUCAGGCAAGCUGCUUCCCUGGCAACUCCGCUACCUGCUCUCCCUGGACCCCCAGCACAGUCCCAGGAGUCACCUCUGCCCUCGACAGUGAACAAGUGCACUCUUGGUGACCUUGAACGUGAAGCCUGGUGAGGCUAUGGAGGAGAGGCCCACCUUGCCAGGGCCCUUGGUGUGGCUGAGUCUCUGCUUCCCUUGCCGUCUCAGCCUCUCCCUCCCUCCUGGGGCUGGGAGUCAGGACAGCACCUGUGGAGCUCUGGCCCAACUAGUUAGGCCACAUUAAGCAGGGACCCAGACAAAGGUCAAGGGCACUGAGGAGGGAGCUAGCACCACAGAAAGUCCACUUCCCAGGUGCAGCCUUGGCCAUGAUGUUUGAGGACAGCUGCAGGGGCUGUUUGGUGCCCUCAUGUCCUUCUGAUGCUGCAAGUAGCAGAUGGGGGCAGAGUGAACAGGUAGGCUAUGAGUAGGAGUGAAUGAAGGUGGGGCUGACCCCUGGCUCUGGCGGUGGCACCCUGGGGUGGCUGGAAGGUGGGUCCCCAGUGGAGUUUGGGGACAGAAAGGUGCAGGCCAAGCCCAGCUGCCAGCAGCCAGAGUUGCACCGAGUUCAGUAUUCGCCAUUGCAAAUGGGACCUGGCACCACGGGUCAGAGAACUGAGCUGGACGGUGCAGGGUGGGUGGGGUAGGGAAGGUGGGAGUCAGGGCUCUCAUCUGCGGCCAGCACAGGCUCCACAGUCCCCCACCCUGUCAAUUCCCUGGUGGGCCAGCAGGUGGCGCCCAGCCUCUUUCUCCCCAAGGUCCUGGGAUGGGGAGGCUCCAGCUUAGAGCCUAGGCGCUCCUAUGGGAACCCAGGGCCAGAGAUGACCCGGUCAGCAGGGCCCUCUCCCCUGACCUCCUCCCUCCCUCUCCUGGGGAGCUGUGCUAGGUGCACAGCCUAGGCAGCCAAACCUCCGAAACGCCCCCAAGCUAUCCUGGGUGGUCAGGUUGAGCCGCUCCACACUCUGGGCCACGGGAGCCCCGAAGGGCGCAGAGUGGGCACUGGGGCUGCUGGACGGGAGGGCGCCCUGCCCCCUGCCCUGGCCUCAUACCUUCCUCCUCUGAUGUGGGCACUGGCCCUAGUGUCACCCCACUCCUCCCAGCACCAGGGGCACAGGCGUGAGAUCACUGGGCCCUGCGGGGGAUGGGGCGCUGGAGCUCAGGGACUGCCUGACAACUGCUUUCCGAGGGGCUGGGAAUGGCUGCCAGCCAGCAUCACCUUCCAGAACAGCAAGCUAAGGCCUCGGAGACGGGGGCCUUGGAUCCAGGCCUGGCAUCAGCCAAGCGUCUGGAACCUGCACCACCAGGGCCCCACCACUCUGGAGGUCUGGGGUGGGGCUGUGCUGUGACAGUGGCUGCAGGGCCAGGACCCCAGCUCCUCGGCACUCACUCCCAGCACCUCUCCUCCCUGGUUCUGGGCCUCCCUGGGGCAGGAGGGGGUGGGGAGGGGGAGGCUCAGGUAUGAGGCUCAGCGAGCCCCUCACAAACUGUGGCAGACAGCAGAGAAAGGCCACCAGCCCCCCGCACACGGUACACACUCCCCACAGCAAGGGUGACACUGGUAGAGACAGAGGUUCCCACAGUGCACAAACGUUCCUCUAAAGAAAAAGCAACAACAUCAAUAUAUGAAACGCAGGGCUCUUCAUGCGUUUACGACAGGGCGUCCUUCACCCUGAAGGUGCCGGCGAGCAUCAAGACUGCAGAGCCAGCCACUGGGUGCCGCAUUCCUGCUGGCUCAGGUGGGACCUGUUUCUGUCGCAUCUUAAAGGACGAUGCUGGGAAAGGCUGCUCUCACCCUGGCAGGGCUCAGAGGUGAUGAGAUGAGAAAGGGGUAAAGCGAUCUGCUCUUCAGAGGAAGCCUGCCUUCCCUGACCAUCGAGGAACUGGAUCUGAGUAUUUCUCUGCUCAGCUGAAAGGCUGGGGCUGGGUUUUGAUAGUCAGGGAUCCAGGGCAUCUGUGGCCAGGAAGGUCCUGUCUGGCAGGUGGUAGGGGUUGGGGGGUGUCCCUCCCCUCUCCUGGCCCUGCCAUGGAGACAAGGGGCUUCUCCUCAGUGGCUUGCAUGGAAUGCCAGCCCUACCACUCACUUGCUUCUUAAGCUCAUGUAAUCUCAAUUUGUUUCCCUGUAAAACAGGGAAGCAAUGUUCAAGUUCCUGGCCUCGAAUAAAUAAGACAUUAUUAUUACACAU
rnacentral:lncRNA from 1 species